GAGUAAUGUCUGGGAAACUGCCUGAUGGAGGGGGAUAACUACUGGAAACGGUGGCUAAUACCGCAUAACGUCGCAAGACCAAAGAGGGGGACCUUCGGGCCUCUUGCCAUCAGAUGUGCCCAGAUGGGAUUAGCUUGUUGGUGAGGUAACGGCUCACCAAGGCGACGAUCCCUAGCUGGUCUGAGAGGAUGACCAGCCACACUGGAACUGAGACACGGUCCAGACUCCUACGGGAGGCAGCAGUGGGGAAUAUUGCACAAUGGGCGCAAGCCUGAUGCAGCCAUGCCGCGUGUAUGAAGAAGGCCUUCGGGUUGUAAAGUACUUUCAGCGGGGAGGAAGGUGUUGUGGUUAAUAACCGCAGCAAUUGACGUUACCCGCAGAAGAAGCACCGGCUAACUCCGUGCCAGCAGCCGCGGUAAUACGGAGGGUGCAAGCGUUAAUCGGAAUUACUGGGCGUAAAGCGCACGCAGGCGGUCUGUCAAGUCGGAUGUGAAAUCCCCGGGCUCAACCUGGGAACUGCAUUCGAAACUGGCAGGCUUGAGUCUUGUAGAGGGGGGUAGAAUUCCAGGUGUAGCGGUGAAAUGCGUAGAGAUCUGGAGGAAUACCGGUGGCGAAGGCGGCCCCCUG
rnacentral:rRNA from 2 species